rnacentral:lncRNA from 1 species
GUUCCAAAAGUAUUUUCAGAUGUUGCCUCAUGACAAAUCAGGGCUGUAGAGUUACUAAAAGUUUAUUCAGUUCUGGGUUGUGAGUGUCUAACCACAGAAAUGUUUCAUGUACCUUGUCUCCCAGGUGGAGUUUAUCAGCUAUUUGUCAAGUUACCAAAAAGUUCCCACAGAGAUUUUAAUCUGAUUAUCUUAAAAACAUAGAUGAAAUUGAGAAAAUUCCACAUUUCUACAGUGUCAACUUCAUGUUUGGGAGCAUGGGAUUUUCCAAAUCAUUAUAUACGUAACAUGUUUUUUAAGUGUUGCAAUAUUAAAAUCAUCUUACGACUUCAAGGUGUCACUGGGAAUACUUCCUGGACCUCACAACACAGACUAAUUCAAACAGACCCCUGCUGUGAGUGCUUUGCUCUUCUCCAGCCAUGUCUAGGCUGGUCUCUCAGACGUAGAUUCUUCCUCUGCACUGGGACCUGGGCAGGCCCUUCUGUGGAUUUGACUCUAGAAUCCUCCAGAGCUGUCCCUGCAGGAACCUGAGACAUAAUCUCACUGCAAACUAGAAACUGUUUGAUAUGAAUAAUGACAAGUAUAAAGGGUGUGUUGAUAUUUUUAUUAGAACAAAUUAUUUGAGGUAUUUAUGUCUGAUGAUUGGGUUCUAAACAGGAAUUAUUAUGAUUUAUAUAGAUGGAUUUAUCAUACAUGGACUCAGGUUGUCUUUACCUAAACAUUAAUGUCCCUAUGUGGCUUUGUGGUUGACAAAACUGUUUUUACAUGUUUUGUUUCACUUGACACUCUUCGCAUAACAGUAUAGUUCCUGGGUUUGCUAUGAGGAUUUCAGAAGAUAAUCCACACUUAGCACAGUUUUUGGAAAGUAAGUUAGCACUCUGUAAACGUUUAUCUUUUAGUUGUUACUGUUAUUGCUAUUAUUAUUGUUAAUAACGCCCGUUAUAUCCUUUCUAUAGACAGAAAAUUGAUGUUUGAUGACACUUAAGUGACUUGCUUAGGGCUGCACAGCAUUUGCUUUUCUUUCUUAAAAUUUUACUGUGUUUAAUUUUAUUUCAUGAGAAAUGAUGCCAACUUGUUGAAGUGAAACAGUACAAAGAUGCAUGAAGAAAAAUGACAUAGUUCAGUUCACGUUAGAUUCACUUCAUCCCUCUGCCGUAAGCAGUGCUCAGUGUGCGGGGCAUAUACUUCUUCACCACCUUGCACGAUCAAUUACUUACAGAUUAACUGGGCCCACAUAUUAAGGUAUUUUUGGUCACUGCUUAUAAAAAAAGAAAAAAAUGGGGGCAGGGCAGAAUUUUCUUUAUGAAUUUUUCAACGUCUUAUUUUUCUUCCUGGAGGGAAACAGCUGAGGGAGCAUUCCCAAUUGCCAAUGAGACUUUAUGGAUUUACGUGUUGAUAUUCAAAUUAGCAGCCCGGGUUGUCAGCAUUUGGGUGUAAUAGUAUGUGCUGAAUAUCUCUGACAUUAUUUAAGAAUUUAUUCUUUUUUCUACUGUUCUCUCAUCAAUUCGUAAGUCAAUAUCACAUUGUUUUAAUUAGUGUACUUUUUACAUUUAAUAAUUAAUAUGAAAUAUGUCUCUCACUGCUUUUCUUUUUUGAGGUUUCUCUUACAUAUUCUAACAUACAAAAUUUCCCUACAGCUAAACCCUAGCCUCAGUUCUUGAAAUACUGUUGGAGGAAGUCAUCAAGAGUACGUGACUGCCAGUUGACCUGAGAGCUGGACCCAGGCAAUUGGAGGCUCCUUAACUUUCCCCUGCCUUGGGAAUGGACGUUCCACCCACUAUUCCCACUCUUGGAGGCAUUUCAGGGAUGCAGCUUGAGAUAAUAAUGUGUUGUUGAGACCAUCCGGACAGUAUACGCAACUGAACCCAGGUAAGGCCCCUAUACGGCACACCUUGGGGAUAUUGCAGGUUUAGUUCCAGACCACUGCAAUAAAGCGAAUAUCACAAUAAAACA